CUCGGAGCCGAACAGCCCUCGGUGGGAAAGCGGCUCUGGGACCCGGGAGCGCGGCUGAGGGUCCCGCUGUCCCGCCGGGCUGCAGCCGGCGGGGACGAUGCUUUGCUAAAAUAAUGCCCUUGAAUUUGUUUGUAGCGGGUUUUUUUUUAAUGUAUUUUAAUGUAUUUCUCACCCCCUUACGCCCCGACACAGUACCAUAUAUGUGUGAUUUUACAAUUGAAAUUAGAGCUGUGUUCUGCUCAACGCCUUAUAAGCUCCAUUGUAUUUCUUGCUUAACUGCACCAUAAACGUUUAAAGGGGGAAAAGACCUUUUGUAGCUGGAAGAGAACGGCAAUACCAGACUUUGUUCUGCUUAAUGGGUACAACCCACCCCUGCGAUAAGUCUUUAUUGUAAGUUUUAUUUGCACUAUCUUUAGUAAUUGUAGAAAAAAAACAUGCCCCAUGAAGCCAUAACCAACAAACCGACUCCAGGUCCUAUCACAGGAGGCUGAUUUCCCAAUAAUCCAUACAAAUUCUGUGGAAUUGUCGGGAAGAGAGUUCUUCGGGACAAUAUUUAGAUUCUCCAUCACAAUUUUAUAGUACAGCAAUACUUCUACUUUUUUUUUUUUUUUUUUUUUUUCCUCUCAUCCCACAACCUUGGUUCUUUUAAAAACUUACUGUUUUGAGCAGGAAGAGCCAUGAAAUUCAUAGAAAGCAUGCUCAGAGACACCAAGAAGAAAAUUAAGUAGUAAUUAUCCUGGUCAUUCUGAACUUCGAAGCCAUUGACACUAGAAAUUAGGAAAUUUUUCAGUAUCUUCUCUGCAUGUUUAUUUUAUCAAAGUAGCAGAGUGUUCAUAUGUUAGUAGCAAGUUACCCAUAAUCCAGCAAAUGCCAGACGUCAACAAACCACUACAAACAGGAAAUGGUUGGAAGAAACUUUAAAUUCAGUUUAUUUGCCUUUUCUCUUGGAUUGUCCCACGCAGUACUGUAGAAAGAGCUACCAAGAACUAGAAAAGCAAGAGGACUCAAGUUCUGCCCCAGUAAAUUUUAGAGUCUAAACCUGCAAUGUUUUAAGUUGCUGUUCAGCAGCCUUGUGGUAGGUGGCAAACAUGCCAAAUUUCUCGGUUCUCACUUUUCUCAACUUUUAAAGCUUUUCAGGGUCCUGAAGUUUUUGCUUUUGGGCAAAAAAACUCCUUGGUUUUACCAAUCAUGAAUUUCAUUACCUAGCUAAUCUUAGGCCAGUUCUAAUGGUGUCUCUCUUCCUGAGUGGCUCUGUGUGACAGCUCUUCGAGCACGCCUCGAAGGGAUGCAAAACAAAACCUCACUGCAGGUGCACCAGCUUUCUGCAGCAAUUCCAACCAUAAACACCUGCCAAAGAUGGAGCACAGAGUGUUUGAAUCCCACUGCUGUGUGGCUCUGGCUCCUUUUGUCCCAAAUCCCCUCAGUGCUGCUCUAUCCCAGCCAGCCCUGUGCCUGCUCCUAUUUGUGAUCACACAUGACCAGGUUAUUUAUGGGGGGAAGAAACUUCUGAUGAGGCUCUUGUGCUUUAUUCAGUUGAAGUGAGGAAGGUGUUGUAGCCCAGUAAACAGGACAAUACCUGGAUGCCACAUCCUAAGAGCUUUUUUCCCAACUUUUGCAUUUGAGAAAAUACGAAAAACCUGCAUGACACAGCAUUCUGUAGUGUUGCAUCUAAACCCAGUAGUAGUUCCAGCUUUUAUUUCAACAUAUUUGUCCCAGGGCCCUAAUAAUAACAAGAAAAUUGCAAAAGAUUGCCUGUUUAUGUAAUGUAAACCAUGCUGAUACCAGCAGUGGGUAUCCUGGCCAUACUCUCUCUUUUUUCCCCAGCAACACCAACUGACUUUAUUUUAUCUUGAUAAAGAUGGGAAGAAAAGCUCCAGCAAGGCCAAGAAAUGUGCUGUAUAUUUAAAAAUAGGUUCCAAGAUAUGUUUUCGCUUAUGUGAUGGAAAAGCAAAAGCCAAUCACCUGAAAAAAAAGUUAAGGUUUUCACUCUUACUUAAAUUAAGGAAAAAAUUCCUUCUAGUUUCAUUAUGAAUUUUGAAUUUGUUGUUCUUUCCUUCAGCAUGGUGCCACCCUAGCUGCAUGCAGGCUUACAAAUAUUUUGACUUAAUAGUUUCAUAUUUCUUCAAAAACCUUGUAUUAGCAGUAUUUAAACUAGUAAUAACAACUAAUACUAAUAAUUUCAUGCAAGAGUAAGAAAUGGCAGUAGAGUAUUUCAAAUACUUUUGACUCAAACAGAUUUCCUUUUCUCUAAACACUGGUUCAGUGUUUGAAUUUUCCAUAUUCAUAUUUCAUAGAGGCAAAAUAAAAGUGACUAAAGCAUUUAACAAAAAAAGUUUAUUACCAAAAUACAAUAUUAAAGUCAAUACGUGACAAACUCCUGUAAAGCAAAAUAAAUUAUUCUACCAUUGUACAGUAUUCCAGAAGGUAGUUAAAGUAGUACUACAGACUUUGCUUCAUCCUUCCAAAGAGUCGCCUAUCAGGAACACAAUCCUAGAGAGAGCUUAAGGCAUGCAGCUUAAUGUGCUGGAUAACUUUAUAAAACAAAACUCAUCCUAUUUGAUAAGAUACAGUAUCAGAAUUAACUGCAGUCUUUACAUGUCAGUUUUCUAAAUUUCUUUAUACUUUGGCUAUAAAAGCAGUGCCAUAGUGUUACAAUACCUUUUCUUAAAAAAAUACAUGUACCCAUGUCCAUGAAUAUCAAAUGCAAAUGUAAAUUUCUAUUAAAUAUAUCUUAACAAAUGUUACUUUGAGCACCAACUGUACAUUGCUUCAAAUGAUUAAAUAAGUGCUUAUGAAAGAGGAAAAUACAAUAACUCAGACUGAAUCCCACUCUAUUUUUCCAGGUCAAGCAUUAAUUGGGAAGAUGAAAUAUGCACCCAUUUUUCAGUACAGCCAUGUAUGAAUGAAGUUUGCUCUUUAGUGGAAGUACAGGCAUUGCAAACAAAGCUGCAAGUUACAGUUUGUAUCACAGAAUAAAAUCUAAUUUAAACAAA